GCGGAUGUGGCUCAAUCGGUAGGGCAUCGGUCUCCAAAGCCGCAGGUUGCAGGUUCGAGUCCUGCCAUCCGCGCCA
rnacentral:tRNA from 5 species